rnacentral:rRNA from 1 species
UGGCGGCAGGCCUAACACAUGCAAGUCGAACGGUAACAGAAAGCAGCUUGCUGCUUUGCUGACGAGUGGCGGACGGGUGAGUAAUGUCUGGGAAACUGCCCGAUGGAGGGGGAUAACUACUGGAAACGGUAGCUAAUACCGCAUAACGUCGCAAGACCAAAGAGGGGGACCUUCGGGCCUCUUGCCAUCGGAUGUGCCCAGAUGGGAUUAGCUAGUAGGUGGGGUAAAGGCUCACCUAGGCGACGAUCCCUAGCUGGUCUGAGAGGAUGGCCAGCCACACUGGAACUGAGACACGGUCCAGACUCCUACGGGAGGCAGCAGUGGGGAAUAUUGCACAAUGGGCGCAAGCCUGAUGCAGCCAUGCCGCGUGUAUGAAGAAGGCCUUCGGGUUGUAAAGUACUUUCAGCGGGGAGGAAGGGAGUAAAGUUAAUACCUUUGCUCAUUGACGUUACCCGCAGAAGAAGCACCGGCUAACUCCGUGCCAGCAGCCGCGGUAAUACGGAGGGUGCAAGCGUUAAUCGGAAUUACUGGGCGUAAAGCGCACGCAGGCGGUUUGUUAAGUCAGAUGUGAAAUCCCCGGGCUCAACCUGGGAACUGCAUCUGAUACUGGCAAGCUUGAGUCUCGUAGAGGGGGGUAGAAUUCCAGGUGUAGCGGUGAAAUGCGUAGAGAUCUGGAGGAAUACCGGUGGCGAAGGCGGCCCCCUGGACGAAGACUGACGCUCAGGUGCGAAAGCGUGGGGAGCAAACAGGAUUAGAUACCCUGGUAGUCCACGCCGUAAACGAUGUCGACUUGGAGGUUGUGCCCUUGAGGCGUGGCUUCCGGAGCUAACGCGUUAAGUCGACCGCCUGGGGAGUACGGCCGCAAGGUUAAAACUCAAAUGAAUUGACGGGGGCCCGCACAAGCGGUGGAGCAUGUGGUUUAAUUCGAUGCAACGCGAAGAACCUUACCUGGUCUUGACAUCCACGGAAGUUUUCAGAGAUGAGAAUGUGCCUUCGGGAACCGUGAGACAGGUGCUGCAUGGCUGUCGUCAGCUCGUGUUGUGAAAUGUUGGGUUAAGUCCCGCAACGAGCGCAACCCUUAUCCUUUGUUGCCAGCGGUCCGGCCGGGAACUCAAAGGAGACUGCCAGUGAUAAACUGGAGGAAGGUAGGGAUGACGUCAAGUCAUCAUGGCCCUUACGACCAGGGCUACACACGUGCUACAAUGGCGCAUACAAAGAGAAGCGACCUCGCGAGAGCAAGCGGACCUCAUAAAGUGCGUCGUAGUCCGGAUUGGAGUCUGCAACUCGACUCCAUGAAGUCGGAAUCGCUAGUAAUCGUGGAUCAGAAUGCCACGGUGAAUACGUUCCCGGGCCUUGUACACACCGCCCGUCACACCAUGGGAGUGGGUUGCAAAAGAAGUAGGUAGCUUAACCUUCGGGAGGGCGCUUACCACUUUGUGAUUCAUGACUGG